CAAUAGCGUAUAUUAAAGUUGUUGCAGUUAAAAAGCUCGUAGUUGGAUUUCUGGGAGGGUGCUAAUGUCCGCCGUAGCGCGUGUGCAGCAGCGCCCUUCCAUCCUUCUGUUAACGCCUCUUGGCAUUUGUUUGCUGGUGGCGGGCUCAGAUAUUUUACCUUGAGAAAAUUAGAGUGUUUCAGGCAGGCUAGGCCGGAAUAUAUUAGCAUGGAAUAAUGGAAUAGGACUAUGGUCUCUUUGUUGGUUUGAGGGACUGCAGUAAUGAUUAAUAGGGAUAGUUGGGGGCAUUAGUAUUUAAUUGUCAGAGGUGGAAUUCUCAGAUUUGUUAAAGACGGACUACCUGACGAAGCUA
rnacentral:rRNA from 1 species